rnacentral:rRNA from 2 species
GUUGUAUGGUUAAGUGACUAAGCGUACAUGGUGGAUGCCUUGGCAGUCAGAGGCGAUGAAGGACGUACUAACCUGCGAUAAGCUGUGAGAAGUCGGUAAGAGACGCUAUUACUCACAGAUUUCCGAAUGGGGAAACCCACCCGAGAUAACUCGGGUAUCUGUUACUGAAUACAUAGGUAACAGAGGCGAACCGGGAGAACUGAAACAUCUAAGUACCCCGAGGAAAAGAAAUCAACCGAGAUUCCCUCAGUAGCGGCGAGCGAACGGGGAUUAGCCCUUAAGCAUCUUGGAAGUUAGUGGAACGGUCCUGGAAAGGCCGGCGAUACAGGGUGAUAGCCCCGUACACGAAAACAACCUUGAUGUGAAAUCGAGUAGGGCGGGACACGUGACAUCCUGUCUGAAUAUGGGGGGACCAUCCUCCAAGGCUAAAUACUCCUGACUGACCGAUAGUGAACCAGUACCGUGAGGGAAAGGCGAAAAGAACCCCUGUGAGGGGAGUGAAAUAGAACCUGAAACCGUGUACGUACAAGCAGUGGGAGCCCUUCGGGGUGACUGCGUACCUUUUGUAUAAUGGGUCAGCGACUUACAUUUUGUAGCGAGGUUAACCGUAUAGGGGAGCCGUAGGGAAACCGAGUCUUAACUGGGCGUCUAGUUGCAAGGUGUAGACCCGAAACCGGGUGAUCUAGCCAUGGGCAGGUUGAAGGUUGAGUAACAUCAACUGGAGGACCGAACCCACUAACGUUGCAAAGUUAGGGGAUGACCUGUGGCUGGGGGUGAAAGGCCAAUCAAACUCGGAGAUAGCUGGUUCUCCCCGAAAGCUAUUUAGGUAGCGCCUCGGACGAAUACUACUGGGGGUAGAGCACUGUUUGGGCUAGGGGGUCAUCCCGACUUACCAACCCCAUGCAAACUCCGAAUACCAGUAAGUAAUAUCCGGGAGACACACGGCGGGUGCUAACGUCCGUCGUGAAGAGGGAAACAACCCAGACCGCCGGCUAAGGUCCCAAAGUUCUGGUUAAGUGGGAAACGAUGUGGGAAGGCUCAGACAGCUAGGAUGUUGGCUUAGAAGCAGCCAUCAUUUAAAGAAAGCGUAAUAGCUCACUAGUCGAGUCGGCCUGCGCGGAAGAUGUAACGGGGCUCAAACCAGGCACCGAAGCCGCGGAUUCACACUUAUGUGUGAGUGGUAGGGGAGCGUUCUGUAAGUCUGCGAAGGUGUAUCGAGAGGUAUGCUGGAGAUAUCAGAAGUGCGAAUGCUGACGUAAGUAACGAUAAAGGGGGUGAAAAGCCUCCUCGCCGGAAGACCAAGGGUUCCUGUCCAACGUUAAUCGGGGCAGGGUGAGUCGACCCCUAAGGCGAGGCCGAAAGGCGUAGUCGAUGGGAAGCAGGUUAAUAUUCCUGCACGACUUGUAAUUGCGAUGGGGGGACGGAGAAGGCUAGGUGGGCCAGGCGACGGUUGUCCUGGUGAAAGUGCGUAGGUGGUGUUUCUAGGCAAAUCCGGAGACACAACACUGAGACACGAGACGAACACACUACGGUGUGGAAGCCAUUGAUGCCCUGCUUCCAGGAAAAGCCUCUAAGCUUCAGAUUACAAGUCAUCGUACCCCAAACCGACACAGGUGGUCGGGUAGAGAAUACCAAGGCGCUUGAGAGAACUCGGGUGAAGGAACUAGGCAAAAUAGAACCGUAACUUCGGGAGAAGGUUCGCUCUUGACAGUGAAGUCCCUUGCGGAUGGAGCAGUUGGGAGUCGCAGUGACCAGAUGGCUGGGACUGUUUAUCAAAAACACAGCACUCUGCAAACACGAAAGUGGACGUAUAGGGUGUGACACCUGCCCGGUGCCGGAAGGUUAAUUGAUGGGGUUAGCGCAAGCGAAGCUCUUGAUCGAAGCCCCGGUAAACGGCGGCCGUAACUAUAACGGUCCUAAGGUAGCGAAAUUCCUUGUCGGGUAAGUUCCGACCUGCACGAAUGGUGUAACCAUGGCCAUGCUGUCUCCACCCGAGACUCAGUGAAAUCGAAUUCGCCGUGAAGAUGCGGUGUACCCGCGGCUAGACGGAAAGACCCCGUGAACCUUUACUACAGCUUGGCACUGAACAUUGAACCUACAUGUGUAGGAUAGGUGGGAGGCUUUGAAGGCGUGACGCCAGUUGCGCUGGAGCCGUCCUUGAAAUACCACCCUUGUAUGUUUGAUGUUCUAACGCAGGGCCCUGAAUCGGGCUCGCGGACAGUGCCUGGUGGGUAGUUUGACUGGGGCGGUCUCCUCCCAAAGAGUAACGGAGGAGCACGAAGGUUGGCUAAUCCUGGUCGGACAUCAGGAGGUUAGUGCAAUGGCAUAAGCCAGCUUAACUGCGAGACGGACAGGUCGAGCAGGUACGAAAGUAGGUCAUAGUGAUCCGGUGGUUCUGAAUGGAAGGGCCAUCGCUCAACGGAUAAAAGGUACUCCGGGGAUAACAGGCUGAUACCGCCCAAGAGUUCAUAUCGACGGCGGUGUUUGGCACCUCGAUGUCGGCUCAUCACAUCCUGGGGCUGAAGUCGGUCCCAAGGGUAUGGCUGUUCGCCAUUUAAAGUGGUACGCGAGCUGGGUUCAGAACGUCGUGAGACAGUUCGGUCCCUAUCUGCCGUGGGCGUUGGAUGAUUGAAGGGAGUUGCUCCUAGUACGAGAGGACCGGAGUGAACGAACCUCUGGUGUUCGGGUUGUCACGCCAGUGGCACUGCCCGGUAGCUAAGUUCGGAAUCGAUAACCGCUGAAAGCAUCUAAGCGGGAAGCGAGCCCUGAGAUGAGUCAUCCCUGACCCCUUGAGGGUCCUAAAGGGCCGUUGGAGACCACAACGUUGAUAGGUGGGGUGUGUAAGCGCGGCGACGUGUUGAGCUAACCCAUACUAAUUACCCGUGAGGCUUAACCAUACAACACCCAAGAAGUGUUCU